rnacentral:rRNA from 1 species
UACAGAGGUCUCAAGCGUUGUUCGGAUUCAUUGGGCGUAAAGGGUGUGUAGGUGGCGCGCUAAGUCGGGUGUGAAAUUUCGGAGCUUAACUCCGAAACUGCAUUCGAUACUGGCGUGCUUGAGGACUGGAGAGGAGACUGGAAUUCAUGGUGUAGCAGUGAAAUGCGUAGAGAUCAUGAGGAAGACCAGUGGCGAAGGCGGGUCUCUGGACAGUUCCUGACACUGAGACACGAAGGCCAGGG